rnacentral:rRNA from 1 species
AGCAGCCGCGGUAAUUCCAGCUCCAAUAGCGUAUAUUAAAGUUGUUGCAGUUAAAAAGCUCGUAGUUGAAUUUCGAGACCGGUUUAUUGGUCGUGCUUUUGUACGUACUGGUAUUAUUGGUUUCUCCUUUCUGACGAAUCUUAAUGCCAUUAAUUUAGUGUUUUGGGGAAUCAGGACUGUUACUUUGAAAAAAUUAGAGUGUUUAAAGCAGGCUCACGCUUGAAUACAUUAGCAUGGAAUAACGGAAUAGGACGUUUGAUUCUAUUUUGUUGGUUUCUAGGAUCGACGUAAUGAUUAAUAGGGAUAGUUGGGGGCAUUAGUAUUCAAUUGUCAGAGGUGAAAUUCUUGGAUUUAUUGAAGACUAACUACUGCGAAAGCAUUUGCCAAGGAUGUUUUCAUUAAUCAAGAACGAAAGUUAGGGGAAUCGAAGACGAUCAGAUACCGUCGUAGUCUUAACCAUAAACUAUGCCGACUAGGGAUCGGAUGAUGUAAUUUUUAAUGACUCAUUCGGCGCCUUACG